rnacentral:rRNA from 1 species
ACGAACGCUGGCGGCGUGCUUAACACAUGCAAGUCGAACGGAAAGGCCCUGCUUUUGUGGGGUGCUCGAGUGGCGAACGGGUGAGUAACACGUGAGUAACCUGCCCUUGACUUUGGGAUAACUUCAGGAAACUGGGGCUAAUACCGGAUAGGAGCUCCUGCUGCAUGGUGGGGGUUGGAAAGUUUCGGCGGUUGGGGAUGGACUCGCGGCUUAUCAGCUUGUUGGUGGGGUAGUGGCUUACCAAGGCUUUGACGGGUAGCCGGCCUGAGAGGGUGACCGGCCACAUUGGGACUGAGAUACGGCCCAGACUCCUACGGGAGGCAGCAGUGGGGAAUAUUGCACAAUGGGCGGAAGCCUGAUGCAGCAACGCCGCGUGCGGGAUGACGGCCUUCGGGUUGUAAACCGCUUUCGCCUGUGACGAAGGGUGAGUGACGGUAAUGGGUAAAGAAGCACCGGCUAACUACGUG